GGUUGUGCUUUUUCUCUUCUCCCAUUGUCAGCUAGUGCAAGAGCGUGUUGGGAAAAACCUGUCUGCGGGAUCCUGUGUCAUCUCCCGCUACAUGUGCACAGGAAAAGUCAGUGCUGCUCGCUGCGCCUCUCUGUUUCCCUUUCAUUCUUGCUUGCACUGAAGCAGGGAGCAGGAUUAGCUCGUGGCACUGGCUGUCAGAGGAGCGUAGAUAAAAGGCACAGCUCGUUCAGCGCCCCUGCUGCAGCCCUUGUUAUUGUUUCCCCCUUCCCCACAACAGUUGUGCCUCAUUAUCCACUGUCUGGCUCAAUUUUUGUGCCCGUGUGUGCAUUGGAAGGGGCUUGAAGUUUUCCCUGCUCCACCGACUGUGGCAGAAGAAGGAGAGAUGUUCUAUAGCGUGGCCAUGAGGUCUUGAUUGUUCUGCGUUUAUGAAUGAAGCUGACCUCAGUCACCUGUUACCUCCAGUUUCUAGAUUGUUGGAAGUUCUGCGGCUGUUCCCUACAGGACCGAGGGCACCGAGACGCCAAUCUACAAGGACCCUACAGUAUCGUCUGCAGCAUGAGCUGGCUGAAUAGGAUUGCACUGCUUUUCUUGGGAGUAUUACUAGCAGAAAGAGUGAACUGCCAGCAUGUGAAGAAUAACGUGCCAAGACUCAAAUUAUCCUAUAAAGAACUUCAGGAAAAGCUGGCACCAGCUGAAGAGCAACCCAGAAUAUCAUGGAUCUACUGUCAUGACAAAGAUUGUGUUUUGUGUUGUUUGUCUUGUUGCUAGCAUUGUUGUGUAUU